rnacentral:rRNA from 1 species
GAUGAACGCUGGCGGCGUGCUUAACACAUGCAAGUCGAACGGAAAGGCCCAAGCUUGCUUGGGUACUCGAGUGGCGAACGGGUGAGUAACACGUGGGUGAUCUGCCCUGCACUUCGGGAUAAGCCUGGGAAACUGGGUCUAAUACUGGAUAGGACCACUUCUUGGAUGGUGUGGUGGAAAGUUUUUUCGGUGUGGGAUGAGCUCGCGGCCUAUCAGCUUGUUGGUGGGGUAAUGGCCUACCAAGGCGUCGACGGGUAGCCGGCCUGAGAGGGUGUACGGCCACAUUGGGACGGAGAUACGGCCCAGACUCCUACGGGAGGCAGCAGUGGGGAAUAUUGCACAAUGGGCGCAAGCCUGAUGCAGCGACGCCGCGUGGGGGAUGACGGCCUUCGGGUUGUAAACUCCUUUCGCUAGGGACGAAGCGUUUUUGUGACGGUACCUGGAGAAGAAGCACCGGCUAACUACGUG